CUAGUCUCUACUCUCUCGUCUCAGAGUCAGACCUCGAUCGCUCCCAUCUUUUUCCAUCGAUUCUCCACCCCUACUGACUCGACUCGACUCGACUCCUUGAGACUCGUAGUGAGUCAGUGACUGUCGACCUCGACUGUGUCUGUCGACAUUACAUCAAUCCUCCCCAAUCGCGAGUUCCGACCACCACCACACGGUCGACACCAACCUCGCCGUCGAGAAGACUACCAUCAUCCUGCAAAUUCCUAGAUUCCGGAGCCACUUAUUACUGAGAAAGUUUGGAAAUUGGAAGAUUUUGAAUCAUAUCCUGCUUGCUUACUGAUUCAAUGAAGAUUGUUGUUGGAACUUGGG